rnacentral:antisense_RNA from 1 species
UGUGAUCUCGACUCACUGCAACCUCCGCCUCCUGGGCUCAAGUGAUUCUCGUGCCUCAGCCUCCUGAGUAGCUGGGACUACAGUUGUCCCUUGGUGUGGGAUUGCUUCCAGUACCUCUGUGUGUAACAAAAGCUGCACCAUUCAAGUCCCACAGUUGCCCUGCGAAACCUCUGUAUAUGAAAAGUUGGCCGUCCAUGUACAUGGGUUUCCCAUCCUGUUGGCAUUCUUCUUGUUUCGUCUCCUCCUCCUUUCCCUGGAUGAUCUUACUUCCUCCCUGGUCUUUAACCAUCACCUGCAGGCUGACAGCUCCCAAAUCUCUAUCUUCAAUCCAGAUGUCUGUCCCAGGCUCCAGUUUUGUGGUUCCACCUGAGACCUUUCCACCUAUAUGCUUUACAGGUCACAGAAUUUUCCACACUCCUUGACGGAGGUGCUUAACCCUUAUCCAUCAGCAUUCUCAGACAGCACCUCCGGUUAGGGACAGUAUCUGACCGUCCGACAUCCCUGCAGCCCCCAUGUGUCACACAGACUCAGCCUCAGGUAGAUGGUUUCCGUAGAUGGUGGCUUUCUUUGGACCCUUGACAUCAACCAGUUACUAUUUGCUCAGCAAGGCCCACAUUUUCCCGGUGAAGCCACAGAACCACAGGGAGAAACCCAUGGACUUCGCCUCUCUCUCUAGGGGACCAGAUGUGCAGAGGUAAUGAAUACCAGGGAAUCAGGAAACCACUGGAUCAGUUCUUUGAGCCACAGAACAACACUCAUCCCAGCAGCUGGGAAGCUAUCUGCAAAAGUCCAUCUGCAGAAAGGGCUUCCUGGUCUUGCGUGUGGCUGGGCCAUUUCUCUGGAUGCAGGUUUUUCAUUAUACAGUCUUCUCAAAGAAACACCUGCUCUCAACACC